UUUAUUAUUUUAAAUUUUUUUUUAGUUUGAGAUAAUAAAAAUGUUCAAAAAAAUUUUAUUUUAAUUUUAUUUUAGAUAUAUAUUGAUAAAAUGCAUCUUUAUUAUUAUAUAUUUUAUAUUUUAUUAUAUAUAUCUUUGACAAAAUAUAUGACAGAUGAUAUGUUAUUUCAGUAAUUAAUUUAAUUUGAUGUUGCUAAAUAUUGUGGGUAGAUAUUCUGUGAUAGUUAUAUAAAUAACUAUAAAACAAUAUUUGGCCCUCCAUUGACAUCUCUUUUAUUAUUGUCUGGUCAUAAAAUUAACAUUACAACACCACCUCCGCCGCAUUCAUCGGUUAAAAAAAGGAGAAGCAGAAAAGAAUACAAUACUGCUGAAUCCAGUUCCCCAGCUGUAAAGAAAAGGAAGUUAGUGUUGGAGGAUUCUUCAGUUCAAAUAACAUCAAUUAACAUUGUUCACAGAAAAUAUAUUCAGCAAAAAUGUCUCUCCUAUUAAAGAAAAUUUCUCAUAUGAAGUAGUAUUAUCCAGUCAAAGCCCCGCACAAAAAUCUUCUUGCAUUAAAAAAUUAAUGCAAAAAAGUUAUACUGUGGAAUCUCAGAAGGUGUCGGUUCCUACUUCUUCAGAAUUCUGUAAUACCAGAAGAUUAUCAGCAUCACCAGUGGAUUUCAGCAGUAGCAGUAGCAGUAGCAGUGGAUUUCAGCAGUAGCAGUAGCUUUAAAUCUUUGUAUCUUGCAAUGAAUGAGAACUUUUCAACUAAUGAUACAGAUACAAUGAAUAUAUCUGUUGCAUCAUUUCAAAGGUUAUGUCAAACGGCGUCAUGAGUGAGAACAAUUUAAACGGGAAAAUGGAUAAGUUGUCUUUUCGAAAGACAAAUACAAUGAAGUUAAUCGUCGCAACUGUUGCGAAGUCAAAGAAAUAUACAGAAAAAGAUAUCAAACUUAGUAUUGGUGUGACUUUAAAACACGCUCCAUUGCGAAAAGGUGGUUUAAAAAAUCUAAGUAAUGAAAACGAUUAAAAUGUCAAGAAAUUUAUAAAUUUAUAUGUUCUUUAAAUUAUG